rnacentral:rRNA from 1 species
AACGAACGCUGGCGGCAUGCCUAACACAUGCAAGUCGAACGAGACCUUCGGGUCUAGUGGCGCACGGGUGCGUAACGCGUGGGAACCUGCCCUUAGGUUCGGAAUAACUCCCCGAAAGGGGUGCUAAUACCGGAUAAUGUCUUCGGACCAAAGAUCUAUCGCCUUUGGAUGGGCCCGCGUUGGAUUAGCUAGUUGGUAGGGUAAAAGCCUACCAAGGCGACGUUCCAUAGCUGGUCUGAGAGGAUGAUCAGCCACACUGGGACUGCGACACGGCCCAGACUCCUACGGGAGGCAGCAGUAGGGAGUAUUGGACAAUGAGCGAAAGCCUGAUCCAGCAGUGCCGCGUGAGUGAUGAAGGCCUUAGGGUUGUAAAUCUCUUUUACCCGGGAUGAUAAUGACAGUACCGGGAGAAUAAGCUCCGGCUAACUCCGUG